rnacentral:lncRNA from 10 species
AGGAGGAGAGACACAGGACAAGUUCUUUCUGCCUCACCCUGAACCCAAAGAGCUCACCUAAGUCUGGAGCCAGAGCUGGAGCCACGGCUGGAGCUGAGGACAGAGAGGGUUCCAUUUUAGGAGAGUCUCAGUCUCACUCUCCUAUGACCCUAUGCAAGGGGCUCCAAGAAAAGCAACUGGGGAAAACAGACCCAGAAACUCCACAUCUCUCUUGAGGGAAGUGGGGGUUGGUCUUCAGGUGGUGAGGAAGAGGAGGAAGGAAGGUCCCACCCUGCUGUGGUCAGGGGAGAGGAGAGCUCAGCUUUCAUUUCCCCUGUAGUGGUCUGAGGGCAAAAGUAGCGUUUGCUGAAGGCAGAAAUUUGGGAGAGGAACAAUACAUUCAAUCCA